GACGAACGCUGGCGGCGUGCCUAAUACAUGCAAGUCGAGCGAAGCGGCGGAUGGGUGAGUAACGCGUGGGUAACCUGCCCCUCAGUCUGGGAUACCAUUUGGAAACAGCUGCUAAUACCGGAUACUAAAGGAUGGACCUGCGAUGCAUUAGCUAGUUGGUAAGGUAACGGCUUACCAAGGCGAUGAUGCAUAGCCGGGUGGAGAGACUGAUCAGCCACAUUGGGACUGAGACACGGUCCAGACUCCUACGGGAGGCAGCAGUAGGGAAUCUUCCACAAUGGGCGAAAGUCUGAUGGAGCAACGCCGCGUGAGUGAAGAAGGUUUUCGGAUCGUAAAGCUCUGUUGUUGGGGAAGUGUUAACCAACCAGAAAGCCACGGCUAACUACGUGCCAGCAGCCGCGGUAAUUC
rnacentral:rRNA from 1 species